GUGAAGCAACGCUUUUGAAUACGCUCAUAAUCAAAAUGGAUGAUCGCCGACUUGCCUCCUUUAAUGUUGAUUACCCUAGACCUCUUUAGCGGGUGAGCCACAUUAAACUUCACUUGAACCCUGAUAAAGGGUUGAGUCAGAGGCUUAGUAGGGUCAAAGAUGAGCUCCUUAACCUCUCCCACCAAGUCUCCCAGAGCCAUUAGAGCUUCAGUGGUAUAGUAGUUAGUCGGGAUAUUGCUCAUACGAACCCACAGCAGAGUAUAUUGCAGGUAGUCAUCUGGUGGUUCUUCCACCCACCUCUCUAUAGCAAGAGCCCAUUCAUUGAAGGUGUGGACUCCUUUCUCCAAAACAUCAAGCAGAUCGCUUUCUUGGUCAAAGAAGAAACUGAAAUCGCUCGUUAGAGAGAGCAACCCCCCGACAUUUUCCUUCCUUUAACCAUUUCCCCGGCAUCUUCCAAAUGAGAGAGGACAUCUUCUGACACUCGGGGUUGAGAGUACGACCCACCAAACUUAGCAAGUUUCUUUCAUUAGAGCAGAACCCCGGAAGGUCCGGCAUAUCAAACGGUUCAUCUUCUUCUUCCAGAGAGAGAGCCAUCAACGCUCUGUCCAUUGCCGCCGACAUGAUUCCUCACAACACAGAACUUCGAAUCAAGCUUCCUUAGGAUGAAAGCACCAGAUUUGAUCUCGAUAUUGACCCAGAUUUUGCAGAAAAGAUUUUGUGAACUCUAGAUCUUAUCCCGAUUUUCCUGAGAAGUUGUUGAAAAGUACUAUGAAGAGGUUGAGAUCUUCAAAGAGAAACGUGUUUUUCUUACUAACUCUGGGACCCACUAUCCACUUGCUUCAAGACUUUAGAGAGAAAACCCCAUAAAGGGAUGCCAUUAUUGAGAUUUGAGAGUUUACUGGACGACAAAACUGUUUUUUCUAUAUUUCUCGAUUUAUUAUAUAUAUCGAUAAUCCAUCACAUCUCCAGCACCUCUGACUAGGUUAAGCCGCUGGUUUUUCACAUCGGACCAGGCUCCCACAGCCAUGUUGUCCGUCCGAUUUGUUCUCGUUUUGUUUUUAGUUUCUAUCUAGGUUUUAUUUUUUCUUUAGCUUUUAUAGUUAGGAUUUCUCCAAAAUGCAGAUAUAGUUUCUGAAUCUCAAAUCUAGAGAAGGAGGCUGAGAAACAGUUUUAGUGCUAUGGGCUUCAGAGUGGUCGUGUCUUGGUAGCAGUAAGCUGUUGGGGUUCUCGCCUUGCUAGGGUUUAGCCUUCAGAUCCGUGGGUUGCUUAUGUUUCUCACUGGCUCCAAUCAAAGGUUCAUGUAAAUUUGAUGGCUGCACUACACAGUAAAGAACGAUCUCUUUCAGAUGUCGUCAAUCUGUGAAUGAGAAACAACUCAUUCCUAAAGAUAUGAAGACAUUAACAGUUGAGGGACCCUGCUCUGUUCCCACAUAACCAAAGUCAGUUUGACUCUGGUUUCAGCGCUGUUCUUCUAAUAGAAGCUCAACCCAUUGAUGGUGAUGAGGUGUACAAAUGCAUCACACCAGAUGUUCUUGACGUGGAGGUGCAAAGAGUUCUUAUGGUAUAUGAAGAUAACUUUGGAGUCCCCUGAACUUAGCUACUCGAGCUUUUCUACUAUCUUAGUUGUGUUAUAGUUUUGAGAUGUUGUCUGAUCACCCUUUGGAUAUUUCUGGUUCUCACAUUUGAUGUAUUAAUGAACUCCUACCAUUCUUAAGUUCAUUAAAGAUCUCUGUUUAUUAAUACAAGUACAUUGAAUAAUAUUAACAUA